UACGAAGGGGGCUAGCGUUGCUCGGAAUUACUGGGCGUAAAGGGCGCGUAGGCGGAUAGUUUAGUCAGAGGUAAAAGCCCAGGGCUCAACCUUGGAACUGCCUUUGAUACUGGCUAUCUUGAGUACGGGAGAGGUGUGUGGAACUCCGAGUGUAGAGGUGAAAUUCGUAGAUAUUCGGAAGAACACCAGUGGCGAAGGCGACACACUGGCCCGUUACUGACGCUGAGACGCGAAAGCGUGGGGAGCGAACAGG
rnacentral:rRNA from 1 species